GACGAACGCUGGCGGCGUGCUUAACACAUGCAAGUCGAACGGAAAGGCCCUGCUUGCAGGGUACUCGAGUGGCGAACGGGUGAGUAAAAGUGGGUGAUCUGCCCUUCAACUUGGGAUAAGCCCGGGAAACUGGGUUUAAUAACGGAUAGGAGCCCUUUUUAGUGGGAUGGUUGGAAAGUUUUUUCGGUGUAGGAUGAGCUCGCGGCCUAUCAGCUUGUUGGUGGGGUAAUGGCCUACCAAGGCGGCGACGGGUAGCCGGCCUGAGAGGGUGGACGGCCACAUUGGGACUGAGAUACGGCCCAGACUCCUACGGGAGGCAGCAGUGGGGAAUAUUGCACAAUGGGCGCAAGCCUGAUGCAGCGACGCCGCGUGGGGGAUGACGGCCUUCGGGUUGUAAACUCCUUUCGCUAGGGACGAAGCUUUUUGUGACGGUACCUAGAUAAGAAGCACCGGCUAACUACGUG
rnacentral:rRNA from 1 species